UGAAGAAUAUUGCGCAAUGGGGCGAACCCUGACGCAGCAACGCCGCGUGAAGGAUGAAGGUUUUCGGAUUGCAAACUUCUUUUAUCAAGGACGAAGGACGUGACGGUACUUGAUGAAUAAGCCACGGCUAACUACGUGCCAGCAGCCGCGGUAAUACGUAGGUGGCAAGCGUUAUCCGGAUUUACUGGGUGUAAAGGGCGAGUAGGCGGGCAGACAAGUCAGAUGUGAAAUCUGGGGGCCUUAACCCCCAAACUGCAUUUGAAACUGUAGGUCUUGAGUGAUGGAGAGGCAGGCGGAAUUCCCGGUGUAGCGGUGGAAUGCGUAGAUAUCGGGAGGAACACCAGUGGCGAAGGCGGCCUGCUGGACAUUAACUGACGCUGAGGAGCGAAAGCGUGGGGAGCAAACAGGAUUAGAUACCC
rnacentral:rRNA from 1 species